UACGGAGGAUCCGAGCGUUAUCCGGAUUUAUUGGGUUUAAAGGGAGCGUAGGCGGGUUGUUAAGUCAGUUGUGAAAGUUUGCGGCUCAACCGUAAAAUUGCAGUUGAUACUGGCGACCUUGAGUGCAACAGAGGUAGGCGGAAUUCGUGGUGUAGCGGUGAAAUGCUUAGAUAUCACGAAGAACUCCGAUUGCGAAGGCAGCUUACUGGAUUGUAACUGACGCUGAUGCUCGAAAGUGUGGGUAUCAAACAGGAUUAGAAACCCUGCUGACUGACU
rnacentral:rRNA from 1 species